UUAAGCGACUAAGCGUACACGGUGGAUGCCCUGGCAGUCAGAGGCGAUGAAGGACGUGCUAAUCUGCGAUAAGCGUCGGUAAGGUGAUAUGAACCGUUAUAACCGGCGAUUUCCGAAUGGGGAAACCCAGUGUGAUUCGUCACACUAUCAUUAACUGAAUCCAUAGGUUAAUGAGGCGAACCGGGGGAACUGAAACAUCUAAGUACCCCGAGGAAAAGAAAUCAACCGAGAUUCCCCCAGUAGCGGCGAGCGAACGGGGAGCAGCCCAGAGCCUGAAUCAGUGUGUGUGUUAGUGGAAGCGUCUGGAAAGGCGCGCGAUACAGGGUGACAGCCCCGUACACAAAAAUGCACAUACUGUGAGCUCGAUGAGUAGGGCGGGACACGUGGUAUCCUGUCUGAAUAUGGGGGGACCAUCCUCCAAGGCUAAAUACUCCUGACUGACCGAUAGUGAACCAGUACCGUGAGGGAAAGGCGAAAAGAACCCCGGCGAGGGGAGUGAAAAAGAACCUGAAACCGUGUACGUACAAGCAGUGGGAGCCUCUUAAUGGGGUGACUGCGUACCUUUUGUAUAAUGGGUCAGCGACUUAUAUUCUGUAGCAAGGUUAACCGAAUAGGGGAGCCGAAGGGAAACCGAGUCUUAACUGGGCGUUAAGUUGCAGGGUAUAGACCCGAAACCCGGUGAUCUAGCCAUGGGCAGGUUGAAGGUUGGGUAACACUAACUGGAGGACCGAACCGACUAAUGUUGAAAAAUUAGCGGAUGACUUGUGGCUGGGGGUGAAAGGCCAAUCAAACCGGGAGAUAGCUGGUUCUCCCCGAAAGCUAUUUAGGUAGCGCCUCGUGAAUUCAUCUCCGGGGGUAGAGCACUGUUUCGGCAAGGGGGUCAUCCCGACUUACCAACCCGAUGCAAACUGCGAAUACCGGAGAAUGUUAUCACGGGAGACACACGGCGGGUGCUAACGUCCGUCGUGAAGAGGGAAACAACCCAGACCGCCAGCUAAGGUCCCAAAGUCAUGGUUAAGUGGGAAACGAUGUGGGAAGGCCCAGACAGCCAGGAUGUUGGCUUAGAAGCAGCCAUCAUUUAAAGAAAGCGUAAUAGCUCACUGGUCGAGUCGGCCUGCGCGGAAGAUGUAACGGGGCUAAACCAUGCACCGAAGCUGCGGCAGCGACGCUUAUGCGUUGUUGGGUAGGGGAGCGUUCUGUAAGCCUGCGAAGGUGUACUGUGAGGUAUGCUGGAGGUAUCAGAAGUGCGAAUGCUGACAUAAGUAACGAUAAAGCGGGUGAAAAGCCCGCUCGCCGGAAGACCAAGGGUUCCUGUCCAACGUUAAUCGGGGCAGGGUGAGUCGACCCCUAAGGCGAGGCCGAAAGGCGUAGUCGAUGGGAAACAGGUUAAUAUUCCUGUACUUGGUGUUACUGCGAAGGGGGGACGGAGAAGGCUAUGUUGGCCGGGCGACGGUUGUCCCGGUUUAAGCGUGUAGGCUGGUUUUCCAGGCAAAUCCGGAAAAUCAAGGCUGAGGCGUGAUGACGAGGCACUACGGUGCUGAAGCAACAAAUGCCCUGCUUCCAGGAAAAGCCUCUAAGCAUCAGGUAACAUCAAAUCGUACCCCAAACCGACACAGGUGGUCAGGUAGAGAAUACCAAGGCGCUUGAGAGAACUCGGGUGAAGGAACUAGGCAAAAUGGUGCCGUAACUUCGGGAGAAGGCACGCUGAUACGUAGGUGAAGCGACUUGCUCGUGGAGCUGAAAUCAGUCGAAGAUACCAGCUGGCUGCAACUGUUUAUUAAAAACACAGCACUGUGCAAACACGAAAGUGGACGUAUACGGUGUGACGCCUGCCCGGUGCCGGAAGGUUAAUUGAUGGGGUUAGCGGUAACGCGAAGCUCUUGAUCGAAGCCCCGGUAAACGGCGGCCGUAACUAUAACGGUCCUAAGGUAGCGAAAUUCCUUGUCGGGUAAGUUCCGACCUGCACGAAUGGCGUAAUGAUGGCCAGGCUGUCUCCACCCGAGACUCAGUGAAAUUGAACUCGCUGUGAAGAUGCAGUGUACCCGCGGCAAGACGGAAAGACCCCGUGAACCUUUACUAUAGCUUGACACUGAACAUUGAGCCUUGAUGUGUAGGAUAGGUGGGAGGCUUUGAAGUGUGGACGCCAGUCUGCAUGGAGCCGACCUUGAAAUACCACCCUUUAAUGUUUGAUGUUCUAACGUUGGCCCCUAAUCGGGGUUGCGGACAGUGUCUGGUGGGUAGUUUGACUGGGGCGGUCUCCUCCUAAAGAGUAACGGAGGAGCACGAAGGUUGGCUAAUCCUGGUCGGACAUCAGGAGGUUAGUGCAAUGGCAUAAGCCAGCUUGACUGCGAGCGUGACGGCGCGAGCAGGUGCGAAAGCAGGUCAUAGUGAUCCGGUGGUUCUGAAUGGAAGGGCCAUCGCUCAACGGAUAAAAGGUACUCCGGGGAUAACAGGCUGAUACCGCCCAAGAGUUCAUAUCGACGGCGGUGUUUGGCACCUCGAUGUCGGCUCAUCACAUCCUGGGGCUGAAGUAGGUCCCAAGGGUAUGGCUGUUCGCCAUUUAAAGUGGUACGCGAGCUGGGUUUAGAACGUCGUGAGACAGUUCGGUCCCUAUCUGCCGUGGGCGCUGGAGAACUGAGGGGGGCUGCUCCUAGUACGAGAGGACCGGAGUGGACGCAUCACUGGUGUUCGGGUUGUCAUGCCAAUGGCACUGCCCGGUAGCUAAAUGCGGAAGAGAUAAGUGCUGAAAGCAUCUAAGCACGAAACUUGCCCCGAGAUGAGUUCUCCCUGACUCCCUGAGAGUCCUGAAGGAACGUUGAAGACGACGACGUUGAUAGGCCGGGUGUGUAAGCGCAGCGAUGCGUUGAGCUAACCGGUACUAAUGAACCGUGAGGCUUAACCUU
rnacentral:rRNA from 1 species